rnacentral:lncRNA from 1 species
AAAGAGACAGAACAAUGUUAUAGGUGAGUGCAUGGACAAUGACCUCAAACAGCUAAGAUUCAAACCCCUGCGUUGAAUGAUUGAAUUGAAAUGAUUCAAUGAGCUAAUGUACAUAAAGCAUCCAGAAUGUUGCCUGGCACAAGGACUGUAUUGUCUGCUAGACCAUUUAUUCAAAGUGGGAGGAUGAUGUUCUAAAAGCCAAUGAUAAAGCUCAUGGCAAUGCAGGGUAUAUCUGAUGGCAUGGAAUGCUUUAGGAUGGCCAAGAUUGCCCAUCAAAUGCCAAGUCACCGAAGUUAUUAAUGGCUCUCCUACUAGGAGCCUGACAUCAUGGUGAGCAUCGAGAAAGGAAUAACCUAAGCUGAAGACACGCCUUUUCAGGAGGCCAAGUUCCACGUUCUGUGCAUGCUUUUGGCGAAAGUCAGGUGCCGAGACAUGAACUUUGGUCUUCUCUGCAAUCCAUCUGGAGCAUUCACUGACAACAUCGACUUUGAAGUUGCACUGACCUGGCCAGCCCUGCCACUUACCAGGUUGGCUCUGUAUGGCUAAGCGUUUUCUCCUAAAAUCCCUUGAAAACUGUGAGAAGACCAUAAGAAGAUCAUAUCUUUAAUUCUAUUUCACAAGUCACACAAUAUUCCAAUCAAAUACAGAUGGUUGAGAAAAGUCAUCCAUCUUCCCUCCCCACCCUCCCACAGCCCCUCAACCACUGCCCUGAAACUUAUAUGCUGUUAUCCGCAGCUCCAUCUGGAGCAUCACAGCUACUGUCAACCCUGACGCUCUUUCUGAAAAAACACCGGAUGGACAUCAGAACUAUUUCUUUAAGGAUGUUACUGAGCCACACAGGAAAACUUGCCUUAUGAUUUUGAAUGCACGGAUCUGAUUUGACUAAACAUGAUAACUAGAGAAUCACCCAAUCUACUCCCAUUUUCAACUCUAAAUCAUCAGAGUGUCUCAAAUCCAAAGCACACACAGACCAGCCUGGCCAACACGGUGAAACUCCACCCCUACUAAAAGUAUAAAAAUUAUCCAGGUGUGGUGGCGGGCGCCUGUAAUCCAAGCUACUUGGGAGUCUGGAGGCAGGAGAAUCCCUUGAACCUGGGAGAUGGAGGUUGCAGUGAGCAGAGAUCACACCACCGCACUCUAGCCUGGGCCACAAAUCAACAACAACAACAACAACAAAAAACAAAGCGCACACAGAGACUGAGGUCCUCUUUGGCAUUGAGAAGAUGGCUAUGCAAGUCCCAACUAGCAAGUGCAAACUUCCCAGCUUCACUUCUGCCAGUGUCCCUUCACCCCUUCUCAACCCCACUGGGAGGCAGGAGGGUGCUUGACAAUAACAGCCUUGGCAUCACUCUGCCAGGGUGUAAUAGGAACUGUUACAAUUCUGAGAUUCUGUAAGUGCUUUGAGAUUUUGGAGUCAGACUGCUUGAACUUGAAUCCUGGCCCUCUCAUCAGAGACUUGACUUAUUUUAGGCUGUGGCUUGCCUUUUCACUUCUUGUGUCCUGUUUAAGAAAUAUCUGCUAUCCCAAGCAUCUGGCAUCUUUCUUGACAUAUGUAGCAGUUGCUUUUUGACAGCUUGCUUCUUCAGUGAAUGAAUAAAUUAAUAAAGAGAAAUGUGAUGUUCAGUGAUCCAUUUUGCAGAUAACACUAACAAAGUUGACCUUAGAAUUGGAGUGCCUGGGUUAGAACCCUGCUGGUACCACCUGCUUACUGCAUGCUUCUGAUGUGAGUUCAGGAGAAGACACUGGCAAGGACAGCAAAGAACAGGAGAACACUCUAGCUUCCCUGAUAGCAUUCAAGGUGCUGUCCAAACUGACUGUGAUGGCACCCUCCAGACAGACAGCGAUGCCACAUGUUCAAGAUGGCAGAAUCACUAUCAGCUUCAAUUCCUGAAUGACUGCAGAGCAAAAUUUCUUACCUGCAACAUACACUCUAUUUUCAGCCUCCCUGGACUGUUACAUAAUGAUACAUAAAAAUAUUUCUUGUGUUGAGGCAUCCCAAAUUUGAUUUAUUUGUCAUCACAGUCUAUCCUAUGAAUAUAUUUCUGAUCCAAAUAAUGCUAGAUUCAUGAGAGUUUAUAGUCCAGAGAUUUUUUUUUUUUUUUUGAGACAGAAUCUGUCUCCCAGGCUGGGGUGCAGUGGCAUAAUCUUAGCUCACUGCAACCUCUGCCUCCCGGGCUCAAGUGAUCCUCCCUCCUUAGCCUCCAUGAGUAGCUGGGACCACAGGUGUGCACCACCACACCCCGCUAAUUAUUUUGUAUUUUUUGCAGAGGGGGGUUUCACCACAUUGCCCAAGCUGGUCUCAAACUCCUAGACUUAAGGGAUCUGCCUGCCUUGGCCUCCCAAAAUGCUGAAAUUACACUUGUUAGCCAUAGUAAUAGUUCCUAGCCAUAGUCCGGAGAUAUUUUAAAAACUUUAGUGUGAGUUAUUUCUCUUUGCUAUAAUUCUCUCAUGCAUUUUGAAAACCUUUUCUGCCAUACAGUGGUUUUUGGGAAGUCCUUUUGGACAGACAUAUCACAGGAUGGAGAAACUAAAAAGAGAGAAUGCAUUAAAGAAAAAAUAGUACUUCGUAUUUCAGAAAUUACAAAAGGGUGUCAUGCCCCACAGCAUGGUGGGCAGUCAUUUGUAACCCACAGAACAUUGAGUUUCUAAAAUUUGAGUGUUUUUAACUUACGAAGGCCAACUUUACUGAUGAAGUGAUUACCCCAAAUAUGUGAAAUCCAUAUUUCAAGUACAAUAGUAGGAAAUUGGAAAUGGGCUCUUGAGUUUCUGCUUUCAAGUGACCCUCAGAAAUUCCUCCAUUCACUGCAGAGGUUCUGUUUCUCCUUGCUUUGUUCUGACUUUACGGCAGAACUAAGCUAAUGAGUUAGUUACUAUGGGUUAUCACUUGGAUUUGAAGAACCAUCAUUUCUAGGCAUUGCUGCUCAGAGUGGGUCUGCCCUCAGGGGAAGCUGUCUAACCAGAGCCUAACCCACUAGGGUUUUAUCAGAACCUAACUGACCUGAGGAAAAGAAAUACUCAACUCCAGCAAGCUCCAGCCUUCCAAAUGGAGGAGGAGAAAACCCAACUCCAGCCCACUUCAGCUAUCUUGUCCCACAUAAAGGGGAAGUGGAAGAAACCUGAGAAGCAGGCAUGAAGUUCACAGUCCAGAGACCUUGCCAUCGUAUCCCCUUUUGGAGACACAAGCCAGGAAGGAAGCUCUUCAGUGCAGCUGUGAAUAGAGAAAUGCUGGCUGAGGUUUUGGAGACACUGGGUGAUCAUUCCCAGUGAAAUUUUUAGAUCCCUGGGGACAUGAGCUGCUUUGUCUUUUCCAAGGACAGCAGACAGAGCAUGAAUGAGACCCCCAAAGAAGGGAAGCAAAUGAGACAAGCCCCACAAUUAUUCUGGCUUUUUGCCUAGAGACAAUCUAUGAACUGUGGGGCAAACAACAGAGAUCAAAACAGCUUGGCAAUCUGAGUUGAGGAUGAAGACACCAUUGGGGCAGAAGCAGCGAUAGCUCAAAUUUGUGGAGCAAAGUACCGGAGAAGAUAAACUGCUCCAAAUUCCAAGAGGCUGGGCAAAGAAAAACUUUGUGGAAAGAAGAAUUAUCAGGGAACUCUAAGCUGAAAAAUUGCCAGGGCUCACACAGACCUGGGGAAUUGGUUGAGUUUAUGCCACCUACAGGAUAGAGAACUUGCUGAAUGUUCAAGGAUUUUGUUACAGAUGCAAGAUGACACUUAAAGGGAUGCAAAACUAACAUCUCUGGAUUAGUCUUAAUAAAGUUUAAAAAUAAGCUUAGAAAAAGUCAAA